AUUGAACGCUGGCGGCAUGCCUUACACAUGCAAGUCGAACGGUAACGGGCCUUCGGGUGCCGACGAGUGGCGAACGGGGGAGUAAUACAUCGGAACGUGCCCGAUCGUGGGGGAUAACGAGGCGAAAGCUUUGCUAAUACCGCAUACGAUCUACGGAUGAAAGCAGGGGACCGCAAGGCCUUGCGCGGACGGAGCGGCCGAUGUCAGAUUAGGUCGGUGGUGGGAUUAAAGCGUACCAAGGCGACGAUCCGUAGCUGGCCUGAGAGGAUGAGCAGCCACACUGGGACUGAGACACGGCCCAGACUCCUACGGGAGGCAGCAGUGGGGAAUUUUGGACAAUGGGCGCAAGCCUGAUCCAGCCAUGCCGCGUGGAGGAUGAAGGCCUUCGGGUUGUAAACCGCUUUUGUACGGAAAGAAAAGCCUUCUUUUAAUACAGGAGGGUCAUGACGGUACCGUAAGAAUAAGCACCGGCUAACUACGUG
rnacentral:rRNA from 1 species